rnacentral:rRNA from 1 species
UACGAAGGGUGCAAGCGUUAAUCGGAAUUACUGGGCGUAAAGGGUGCGUAGGCGGUUCGUUAAGUCGGGGGUGAAAUCCUGGAGCUCAACUCCAGAACUGCCUUCGAUACUGGCGAUCUUGAGUCCGGAAGAGGUGAGUGGAACUCCUAGUGUAGAGGUGGAAUUCGUAGAUAUUAGGAAGAACACCAGUGGCGAAGGCGGCUCACUGGUCCGGUACUGACGCUGAGGUGCGAAAGCGUGGGGAGCAAACAGG